GUCGAACGGUGAGAGGAGCUUGCUCCUUGGAUCAGUGGCGAACGGGUGAGUAACACGUGAGCAAUCUGCCCUUGACUCUGGGAUAACUGCGGGAAACUGUAGCUAAUACCGGAUAUUACCUUGGAAGGCAUCUUCUGGGGUGGAAAGAAUUUUGGUCAAGGAUGAGCUCGCGGCCUAUCAGCUAGUUGGUGAGGUAAUGGCUCACCAAGGCGACGACGGGUAGCCGGCCUGAGAGGGUGACCGGCCACACUGGGACUGAGACACGGCCCAGACUCCUACGGGAGGCAGCAGUGGGGAAUAUUGCACAAUGGGCGCAAGCCUGAUGCAGCAACGCCGCGUGAGGGACGACGGCCUUCGGGUUGUAAACCUCUUUUAGUAGGGAAGAAGCGACUGGGUUUUCCUGGGAGUGACGGUACCUGCAGAAAAAGCACCGGCUAACUACGUGCCAGCAGCCGCGGUAAUACGUAGGGUGCAAGCGUUGUCCGGAAUUAUUGGGCGUAAAGAGCUCGUAGGCGGUUUGUCGCGUCUGCUGUGAAAACCCGAGGCUCAACCUCGGACCUGCAGUGGGUACGGGCAGACUAGAGUGCGGUAGGGGAGAUUGGAAUUCCUGGUGUAGCGGUGGAAUGCGCAGAUAUCAGGAGGAACACCAAUGGCGAAGGCAGAUCUCUGGGCCGUAACUGACGCUGAGGAGCGAAAGCAUGGGGAGCGA
rnacentral:rRNA from 1 species